GUUCUGUAAAAGAUGUGUCCUCAUGGUCCAGUGUAAUUAUAAUUACUAUUUUUGUGGGGCAGAAGAGUCAGGUUUUACCUUCAUGAUCUGGAAGCUUUAAUUUUGGUUUGACAAAAUGCCUGGACGAUAUUGGGAGAAUCUGAAUACUAGUGCUAAAAGUUCUUUUAGUGCUUCAAGCUUAUAUAACUUUUUGUCAGUUUGAUUGCUAUAACUCAAACCCAUUUUAUGCUCUUAGGGGUUCAGUAGUUGCCAUAAAAAGCCAGAAGCAUGAUCCAUCUUGUCUGCUCUGUUUGCAGGAGAACAUGCAAGAACACAAAGUUGACUGUAAGCUGUUUCCUGCAGUGCUGCGGUUUGGUUCACAUCCUGAAACAUGGAAAGACCACAUCCCUGAGACUUUCAAAUGGUGUGAGAGCCACACAGAAGAAGACAGACGUGUACACACCCACAGAGCAAGAUACCAACUCCCAGAGUGUCCAGAAGAGCUUACAUACUAAUCUUGGCACUUCUAAAUUAAAUGUAAUUCCAGAGAAAAUUCCCUCAUUAUUACUGCUCCUGUCCUUGUGGGUAGAAUCUUAACGUUUCUUCCUUUUUUUUUUUUUUUUUUUUUUUUGUAAUUGUAUAAAAAGCAUUUGAUUUGGGUGACAUUCACUGGAAUAACAUGCAGUGGAAUAGUAACACAUAUAUUAUAAAAGCUACUGAAAGUGGAAGUCACAUCCCGUUUGCUAAAACUUCCAGGGGGUUGAGUUUUAGUGGAGUUGCUGCCGUUAUAUAUGUCAGUUGUUUCAAAACCUUGCAGGGUUAAAAAGGAUUGUGAGUAGCAGGGAGAGGGAACUGAAGUAGGUGGUAUUAACAGCCUUCCUCUGGUUGCUGCAGGCAUUUCAUUUAGUUGCCAUUCAGAGCACCUGAUUGUAUUCUGCAUGGUCGGUGGAGAAAAGAGGUGAGUCCGGAGGCUGAUCCAGAAGACUUAAGUUAGGUACAUGUAUUCCCAGCACGGUUGCUGUGGCCUGUGAUGUGCAGCACAGCCUGUAGGUCUUUGAUCUCUUAGCCUGGUGCACAUGAUGCAUCCUUCAGGGGUCAGACGGGACAGUGGUGGCUUAUGGACACAUCCACGGUCAGGAUAAGCAGGAUGAAAGGUAAAAUCGGCCCUAUGCGAUGAAUGGUUUCAUCUGGUGUGUGAAUGCCACCAAGGAACUGGGUUUCUGGAGCUGACCUUUUUUUCUCUUUUUUUUUUUUUUGUUUUCCAUUUGAAUAUUGGCCGCCUUGCAGGAGGAGAUUUGGAUCUGGCAUUGGAUAUGAGAGCUGGUUCUAAGGGGCUGCUCCGGACCUUCAGGAGUCUGUCUGUCCUUGUGGGGAAGUCACUUCUCAGGCCUGCGGCUGGGAUUCACCUUGCAGCUGUAGAAGAGCAAGUGGGCAGAAGGAAGACUCACUUAUCACCAUGUAUCUUCUUUCACGAUCUGCUGGGAAAACUGGUGGGAGAGAGGCAUGAGUAGAACCUUGCUCUCCGUGGAUUAUGCGGUGGAACUUGCUUGGAGUGACCCACUGGAGGGAACAGCAUUCAUCAGAAAAAUUAGUUGUUUUCUUUGACAUUUUUCUGGUUCUGCCAGGCCAGGAGGUGGGAAGUAAGCAUGGAGGCGCUUCCUUUGGCCACUUCUUUCCCUUUUUUCCCUUGAAAGAAGAAGAGGGAAACUUUGUCCAGGCUGCACAUUCUCUGAAGUGUGACUGAACAUGACUGAAUUGCUUUCCAGGCUCUUUUACCCUCGUGAGACUGGAAAGAUUGGGGCUCUGAAGGGAAAGAGCUACUGAAGUUGAUGGGCUCAGUGAGGGCAACUUACAGACCAUCCAGGCCAUGGACAGAAUUUAAAGGAUAUAGAGAAGGGUCCUUGAGGAGUUGUAAGCACCAGGCCUGUCACAACCUGUUUAAACAGGACAUUGCAGUGGUAUGUUUUAAAGUUAAAUCUCUGCAUUUGCACUUGCAGUAUCAAGAAUCAGGCAUACUCAGCAGUUUAAUGUUAAAGGCAACAACAGGCUUGAGUUUUCUGAUUUUAUGUCUGAAAUAAAAGCACGGUGUUAAGGUCA
ensembl:lncRNA